GGAAGUGUGGCAGAGUUAGGCUUAAUGUGUGGGAUUGCUAAUCCUAUAUACUCUUUUAGGGUAUCGAGGGUUCGAAUCCCUCCACUUCCGCCA
rnacentral:tRNA from 1 species